UUACUACAAUAGCUCAACCAACAACUCAAACUACACAAAAUUAAAACAAACCAUUUGANACUACUAGUAAAGGA
rnacentral:rRNA from 1 species